CGGAGUGUGGUGCAACGGUAGCAUAUCUGCUUUGGGAGCAGACGAUUCGAGUUCAAAUCUCGGCACUCCGA
rnacentral:tRNA from 1 species